rnacentral:rRNA from 1 species
AGAGUUUGAUCCUGGCUCAGGACGAACGCUGGCGGCGUGCUUAACACAUGCAAGUCGAACGGUAAGGCCCUUCGGGGUACACGAGUGGCGAACGGGUGAGUAACACGUGGGUAAUCUGCCCUGCACAUCGGGAUAAGCCUGGGAAACUGGGUCUAAUACCGAAUAGGACCACAGAACACAUGUCCUGUGGUGGAAAGCUUUUGCGGUGUGGGAUGGGCCCGCGGCCUAUCAGCUUGUUGGUGGGGUGAUGGCCUACCAAGGCGACGACGGGUAGCCGGCCUGAGAGGGUGUCCGGCCACACUGGGACUGAGAUACGGCCCAGACUCCUACGGGAGGCAGCAGUGGGGAAUAUUGCACAAUGGGCGAAAGCCUGAUGCAGCGACGCCGCGUGGGGGAUGACGGCCUUCGGGUUGUAAACCUCUUUCACCAUCGACGAAGGUCCGGGUUUUCUCGGGCUGACGGUAGGUGGAGAAGAAGCACCGGCCAACUACGUGCCAGCAGCCGCGGUAAUACGUAGGGUGCGAGCGUUGUCCGGAAUUACUGGGCGUAAAGAGCUCGUAGGUGGUUUGUCGCGUUGUUCGUGAAAUCUCACGGCUUAACUGUGAGCGUGCGGGCGAUACGGGCAGACUUGAGUACUGCAGGGGAGACUGGAAUUCCUGGUGUAGCGGUGAAAUGCGUAGA